rfam:Micromonospora echinospora strain DSM 43816 genome assembly, chromosome: I
CUUGAUCGAGCCGAGCAGCAGCGGGGCGGCGUCGCCCCGGUCCUGCCCGUACGUGGCGAGCAGCGCCUGCGCCUC